rnacentral:rRNA from 1 species
UUGAAUCUUUGAACGCACCUUGCAUCUUUUGGUAUUCCAAAAGGUAUGCCUGUUUGAGUGUCAU